rnacentral:tRNA from 1 species
GGGCCUUAGCUCAGCUGGGAGAGCGCCUGCUUUGCACGCAGGAGGUCAGCGGUUCGAUCCCGCUAGNGUCCG